CCACCUGAUCCCUUCCCGAACUCAGAAGUGAAACCACUCCGCGCCAAUGGUAGUGUGGCAUUCGCCAUGUGAGAGUAGGUCAUCGCCAGAC
rnacentral:rRNA from 1 species